CCCUAACGCCAAAAACCUUAAACCUUACCCUAGCCCCAUAACCUAAUACCCGGGUAUUACCUUCAGGAAGCCCGAACACCCCAAAUAUUUUUUUUUCAUUUUACAUUUUUUUUUGGUGUAACCAACUCCAAAAGGUCUUAAACAUGUUCCUAAAAAGGUUUUGGACAGUGAUUUUAACCCUAACGCCAAAAACCUUAAACCUUACCCUAGCCCCAUAACCUCAUACCCGGGUAUUACCUUCAGGAAGCCCGAACACCCCAAAUAUUUUUUUUUUCAUUUAUCUUUUUUUUUUGUCUAACUAACUCCAAAAGGUUGGAAAAGACUUCCUACAAAGGUUUUGGACAGUGAUUUUAACCCUAACGCCAAAAACCUUAAACCUUACCCUAGCCCCAUAACCUAAUACCCGGGUAUUACCUUCAGGAAGCCCGAACACCCCAAAUAUUUUUUUUUUCAUUUUUUUUUUUUUGGUCUAACUAACUCCAAAAGGUCUGAAACAUGUUCCUAAAAGGUUUUGGACAGUGAUUUUAACCCUAACGCCAAAAACCUUAAACCUUACCCUAGCCCCAUAACCUAAUACCCGGGUAUUACCUUCAGGAAGCCCGAACACCCCAAAUAUUUUUUUUUUCAUUUUACUUUUUUUUUGGUGUAACCAACUCCAAAAGGUCUGAACAUGUUCCUAAAAGGUUUUGGACAGUGAUUUUAACCCUAACGCCAAAAACCUUAAACCUUACCCUAGCCCCAAAACCUAAUACCCGGGUAUUACCUUCAGGAAGCCCGAACACCCCAAUUUUUUUUUUUCAUUUUACAUUUUUUUUUGGUGUUACCAACUCCAAAAGGUCUGAAACAUGUUCCUAAAAAGGUUUUGGACAGUGAUUUUAACCCUAACGCCAAAAACCUUAAACCUUACCCUAGCCCCAUAACCUAAUACCCGGGUAUUACCUUCAGGAAGCCCGAACACCCCAAAUAUUUUUUUUUCAUUUUUCUUUUUUUUGGUCUAACUAACUCCAAAAGGUCUGAAACAUGUUCCUAAAAAGGUUUUGGACAGUGAUUUUAACCCUAACGCCAAAAACCUUAAACCUUACCCUAGCCCCAUAACCUAAUACCCGGGUAUUACCUUCAGGAAGCCCGAACACCCCAAAUAUAUUUUUUUUUCAUUUUUUUUUUUUUGGUGUAACCAACUCCAAAAGGUCUGAAACAUGUUCCUAAAAAGGUUUUGGACAGUGAUUUUAACCCUAACGCCAAAAACCUUAAACCUUACCCUAGCCCCAUAACCUAAUACCCGGGUAUUACCUUCAGGAAGCCCGAACACCCCAAAUAUUUUUUUUUUCAUUUUACAUUUUUUUUUGGUCUAACCAACUCCAAAAGGUCUGAAACAUGUUCCUAAAAAGGUUUUGGACAGUGAUUUUAACCCUAACGCCAAAAACCUUAAACCUAACCCUAGCCCCAUAACCUAAUACCCGGGUAUUACCUUCAGGAAGCCCGAACACCCCAAAUAUUUUUUUUUCAUUUUUCAUUUUUUUUUGGUCUAACUAACUCCAAAAGGUCUGAAACAUGUUCCUAAAAGGUUUUGGACAGUGAUUUUAACCCUACGCCAAAAACCUUAAACCUUACCCUAGCCCCAUAACCUAAUACCCGGGUAUUACCUUCAGGAAGCCCGAACACCCCAAAUAUUUUUUUUUCAUUUUACUUUUUUUUUGGUCUAACUAACUCCAAAAGGUUGGAAAAUGUUCCUAAAAGGUUUUGGACAGUGAUUUUAACCCUAACGCCAAAAACCUUAAACCUUACCCUAGCCCCAUUACCUAAUACCCGGGUAUUACCUUCAGGAAGCCCGAACACCCCAAAUAUAUAUUUUUUUCAUUUUACAUUUUUUUUGGUGUAACCAACUCCAAAAGGUCUUAAACAUGUUCCUAAAAAGGUUUUGGACAGUGAUUUUAACCCUAACGCCAAAAACCUUAAACC
rnacentral:lncRNA from 1 species